GUGGGGAAUAUUGGACAAUGGGCGAAAGCCUGAUCCAGCCAUGCCGCGUGUGUGAAGAAGGUCUUCGGAUUGUAAAGCACUUUAAGUUGGGAGGAAGGGCAGUAAGUUAAUACCUUGCUGUUUUGACGUUACCAACAGAAUAAGCACCGGCUAACUUCGUGCCAGCAGCCGCGGUAAUACGAAGGGUGCAAGCGUUAAUCGGAAUUACUGGGCGUAAAGCGCGCGUAGGUGGUUUUGUAAGUUGGAGGUGAAAUCCCCGGGCUCAACCUGGGAACUGCCUCCAAAACUGCAUGACUAGAGUACGGUAGAGGGUAGUGGAAUUUCCUGUGUAGCGGUGAAAUGCGUAGAUAUAGGAAGGAACACCAGUGGCGAAGGCGACUACCUGGACUGAUACUGACACUGAGGUGCGAAAGCGUGGGGAGCAAACAGGAUUAGAUACCCCAGUAGUCC
rnacentral:rRNA from 1 species